UAAAACAUCAAGGAAAACUCAAUAAAAAUUCAGUUUUUUAAAUAUAAAGCUUAUAUUAUGAUUUAUUUGAAAAAUUUUUGAGUUUUUUCGUAAUUAAACUAUUAAUAUUGAUAGAAUAAAGAUUUCAAGCUAUUUUUUCAUCGUUUUUAGGGAAUUUUGUAGACGAUCUGUUAUAAACCGUGAUAUUCUAUUGAGAAUAUAAUGAAAGGUUUCAUACACGAAGAACAAAGACAGAUAAAAGAAUUUCUCAUGAAAACAAAUAUAAAUUACUUCUGACUCACCACUGAUCGAGUGGAUAAAACCAUUGAACACUGAUCAUGGGUUCGCACCUGUCUGACCACGUGGAGUUUACCGGAUUUUCUUCAUUUGUCUAACACUUAAAUAAGGGCUAAUUUUCUACUGAAAUCCCUCUCGGAGGCUCCUUUCCUUCGCUGAUUGUCUAUGCGUUGUGCUGCCUUAUCUCCAAUCCAAUCCAUCUUCAAUUCUGAAACAAAAUUGUUAAUCUCUCUCAAGACUCAAUUCUUAAGAAAUAUGAGAUACAACAUUUCUUAGCGACCAAAACCUGCUUUCAAUAAAAGACAGCAUUCAAUGUGUAAUAGCUUUAAGGAAAAGCGGAUGUUUAUGAAAGCAAACAGUGCCCUGAGCAACUGGAAAGAUUUUGAAAGAAUGGAACCUGGUUCCUGGAUCAUGUUUAUAUAGUAGGAUUUAUAAGUUAUCAGCAAAAUCAGCCACUUUAUACGUUAAUAUAUAUUUAUAUUUCAUCAAUACAAUCGAACAUCCAAUAACAGCCCUUAACAACAAUUACCUCUAAAGAGCGACUAUUU